rnacentral:misc_RNA from 1 species
GAAGAAGAACGCAGCGAAAUGCGAUAAGUAAUGUGAAUUGCAGAAUUCAGUGAAUCAUCGAAUCUUUGAACGCACAUUGCGCCCCCUGGUAUUCCGGGGGGCAUGCCUGUCCGAGCGUCAUUACAACCCUCAAGCUCAGCUUGGUGUUGGGCCCCGCCGCCCCGGCGGGCCCUAAAGUCAGUGGCGGUGCCGUCCGGCUCCGAGCGUAGUAAUUCUUCUCGCUCUGGAGGUCCGGUCGUGUGCUCGCCAGCAACCCCCAAUUUUUUUCAGGUUGACCUCGGAUCAGGUAGGGAUACCCGCUGAACUUAAGCAUAUCAAUAAGCGGAGGA